AGAGAGAAAGUUCGUUGGUGUUUCUUAAUGACAUGUUUUAAUUCUCCACCAAUAUGCGAGAAUUCUGUGGAGAAACAGAGUCUUUGCUUCGAGGCGCGUUUGG